CCUACGGGAGACAGCAGUGAGGCAUAUUGGUCAAUGGCCGAGAGGCUGAACCAGCCAAGUCGCGUGAGGGAAGAAUGUCCUAUGGAUUGUCAACCUCUUUUGUCAGGGAGCAAAGUCACCCACGUGUGGGUGUUGGAGAGUACCUGAAGAAAAAGCAUCGGCUAACUCCGUGCCAGCAGCCGCGGUAAUACGGAGGAUGCGAGCGUUAUCCGGAUUUAUUGGGUUUAAAGUGUGCGUAGGCGGGUUAUCAAGUCAGCGGUAAAAUCGUGGAGCUCAACUCCAUCCAGCCGUUGAAACUGAUGAUCUUGAGUGGGCGAGAGGUAUGCGGAAUGCGUGGUGUAGCGGUGAAAUGCAUAGAUAUUGCGCAGAACUCCGAUUGCGAAGGCAGCAUACCGGCGGCGAUCUGACGCUGAGGCACGAAAGCGUGGGUAUCGAACAGGAUUAGAUACCCGGGUAGUC
rnacentral:rRNA from 1 species